AUAAGAAGAAGGAGAAACACAAGAAGAACAAAAAGAGCAAGGAAGGCAAAAGUAGCGAUGGCAGCAGCAGCAGUAGUGACGGCGAAUGCUGUCCGUGAGAAGGCAAAGACAUGUCUUAUGAACUUAUAAUUCUAAAAACAAGACUGAGGAGAAGCAUUGUGAAGGUUCAGCUACAUGGAAAUGAGAGGAAUAAAGCUGCCAACCAAGACUAUAAGUAAAAAUAAGCUAUAAUUAUCUAUGACAUAUGGCUAUUGUUUAGUAGAAAAUUGAUUGAUUCUACAAAUAUGUUGUAUACCAUAUAAGAAUAAAUGAUAAUCCUCUUUUGUA